rnacentral:lncRNA from 10 species
CCACACCUGACUAAUUUUUAAAUUUUUUGAGGAGGUGGGAUCUCACUAUGUUGUCCACGCUGGUCUGGAACUCCUGGCCUGAAGGGAUCCUCCCACCUCAGCUUCCCAAAGUUCUGGGAUUACGGGCAUGAGCCACUCAGUCUGGUCUAUUUGUUAAUUUACUUAUUUAGAGACCAGGUCUCCCUCCAUCACCAGGCUGCAGUUUAAUGGCACAAU